rnacentral:antisense_RNA from 1 species
CUUCACCGAGCCCAGCCACAGCGGCUGCUCUGCCGUGUGCUCGCGCCCGUACGUGGCCAGCAGGGCCUGCGCCUC